GCAGAUGGUUAUACCGAGCUCUGUAAUUAGAAAGACCUCCGUUUCCUACUGGAUUGCCUAGACUUUUGCCGAUCCGCAUCUCCAGGUUUGGACUCCCCUCUGGCUGAAGGGUACAUUGGUGCAUGGAAAGAGACUGUUCCCAGUGUACAUCAGCAGUGUGGGAUCACAAGGAGACCAGCACAGUAGCAGGAUAUUUCUGUGGUGCAAGUGUGACAGCAGGAAGGUCAUCACCUCAGAAAGG